UACGUAGGUGGCAAGCGUUACUCGGAAUCACUAGGCGUAAAGCGCAGGUAGGCGGUUCGGUAAGUCUUUUGUGAAAGCUCCUGGCUCAACUGGGAGAGGCCAAAGGAAACUACCGGGCUAGAGUUCGGUAGGGGAGACUGGAAUUCCCGGUGUAGCGGUGGAAUGCGCAGAUAUCGGGAGGAACACCCGUGGCGAAGGCGGCACUCUGGGACGGUACUGACGCUGAGACGCGAAAGCGUGGGGAGCAAACAGG
rnacentral:rRNA from 1 species